GGCAAAGGUUCACAAUAUCACACAAACACUAGAGUACAAAGGGACAGUAUGAACAAUAAAUAUCACAUAUCGGAAGCACACGCGGAACAACAAAAUGUACAUGUGCCUUUAUGAGUCAAUACGAAGUAAACAAUAAUCUUUCACAAUUGUAUUCAGAUUUGAAAGGAAAUGAAAGCAAGAGCAUUCAAGGAUUCCAAGCAACUUCUCUUCAAGUUGCAGCUGCCACUACCGCAACUGCCUCCCCU
rnacentral:lncRNA from 1 species